rnacentral:rRNA from 1 species
UACGUAGGGGGCAAGCGUUGUCCGGAAUCAUUGGGCGUAAAGAGCGUGUAGGCGGUUCGGUAAGUCGGCUGUGAAAGUCCAGGGCUCAACCCUGGGAUGCCGGUCGAUACUGCCGGACUAGAGUUCGGAAGAGGCGAGUGGAAUUCCCGGUGUAGCGGUGAAAUGCGCAGAUAUCGGGAGGAACACCUGAGUGGACGAAGGCAGCUGC